CCGACAUCAGAACACAGCCAGAAAAUCACCAGCAGAUACCACUGAACCUACUGAGUUUUUCCAGCACUUCCUGUUUUUGUGUCUCAACAAUCCAUUAAGUUCUGAAGGAAGUCUGUGGUCUUUACCCAAUCUGGUCUACAUGUGACUUCAGACCCACCAAUGUGGUUGACUCUUAACUGUCUCCUCAGUUCAGGGAAAAUUAGGGAUGAACAAUAAAUGCUGACACCCACACCCACGAACAAGAGAUUUCCAGCAUCUGCAGUUCUUUCAAAGGUGGAGUUAAAUCCCAGAGUUUAAUUGCAAGUCUGAUUUUUCAGUACUACAAUCAAUCCCACUCUGAGGAGACAGACAAGAGUUGACAUUGCAUCAAAGAAGCUAUUAGGAUAGGUGACCAAAAUAACUUUGUUAAGAGGGACCCUUACAACUUUACAAGUAAGCUUGAACACUACGGUCAUCUGGAGUAAAUGGAUAUGAGAACUGGAAGGAUCAGUUCUGCGGAAGUAUAUGUGAAAUAUGGAACAAAGAAAGUAAAUGGGAGAAAC